UUUAAAUUUAUUUAUUAAUUAUAUAUAUAUAUAUAUAUAUAUAUAUAUAUAUAUAUAUAUUAAAAAUAGUUAUAAAAGUAAAUUUUUUAGUAUUAAUUUAAGAAAAAAUAUUAUUAAUUAUAGUUUAUUAGUAUUGAUAAAGAAAAAUGAAAUAAUAUGAAAAAUUUUAAUAAUAAAAGAAAAAUUAAUAAUUUGUACCUUGUGUAUCAGGGUUUAUUAAAUAAAAUUUAAUUAUAUUAAUUUUCUCGAUUUUAAAAGAUUUAAUAUAUUAGAAAAUAUAAAGUUAUAAAUUUAUUUUUAAUAAUAUAUUUGAAAUGAAAUGUUAUUCGUUUUUAAAGGUAUCUAGUUUAUUAAGAAAUAAAUUUAAUUUAUAAAUUUUAUAUUAUUUAUUUUAUUAUUUAAAUAAAUAAUUAUUUAAUUUAAGUAUUUUAUGGGAUAAGCUAUAAAAUAAAAUAUUAUAAAUAUAAUUAAUUUAAUAAAAUAUAGGGUUAAAAUUAUUCAAUAUUAGAGAAAAUGUAAUAAUUUAUUAUUAAAUUAAUAAUAAUUUAUUUAAUUUUAAUUAUUUAUUAAUAUAUAUUUUAUAAUUAAAUAAAAUUAAAGAUAAUGAUAAAAUUAGUAUAAAUUUUUAUAUUAAUAUAAUUAUUUAAUAAAUUUUAUUAAAGAAUUCGGCAAAUUUUAUAUUCACCUGUUUAACAAAAACAUCUCUUUAUGAUUAAAUAUAAGGUUUAACCUGCCCACUGAAUUAUUUUAAAUGGCUGCAGUAUAUUGACUGUACAAAGGUAGCAUAAUCAUUAGUUUUUUAAUUGAAAACUGGAAUGAAUGGUUGGAUGAAAUAUAAACUGUUUCAGUAAAAAUAUAUUAGAAUUUUAUUUUUUAGUAAAAAAGCUAAAAUAAAUUUAAAAGACGAGAAGACCCUAUAAAUCUUUAUAUAAAAUAUAAAUAUUAAAUUAUUUAGAAGAUUAUAAAAUAUUUAUGUUUUAUAUUUUAUUGGGGAGAUAGUAAAAUUUAUAAAACUUUUAUUUAUUAAAUUCAUUAAUUUAUGAAUUUUUGAUUAAUUUUUAAUGCAUAAAAAAAUAAGUUACUUUAGGGAUAACAGCGUAAUUAUUUUGGAGAGUUCAUAUUGAUAAAAUAGA
rnacentral:rRNA from 1 species